UGAUAAGGACAUGGUCAUCUUUAGUGCAGCAGAUUAGUAAAAAAAUCGUUCACUUUGGUAUAGAAGCAUGAAAUUUGGCACAGAUACUCUCUAAGGG